GGUAAGAGUAGUGCUUGGCAUCAGUACUUCCAGCAUACAGAGAUUGCAGAUCAGAUUGACCGUGAUUUGCAGCGUACACACCCAAAUAUUAAGUUCUUUUCUGGAGACUCAUCAUUCAGUAGGAAAAACAGGGAUGCAAUGAGGAAUAUUCUUCUCCUAUUUGCAAAGCUAAAUCCUGCUAUUCGUUAUGUUCAAGGCAUGAAUGAAGUCUUGGCACCAAUAUUCUAUGUAUUUAGUACUGACACUGACCAGCAGAAUGCUGCAAAUGCAGAAGCAGAUAGUUUUUC
rnacentral:misc_RNA from 1 species